AGAGAGAGAGAGAGAGAUGCUUCCUGCUCUAACGGCUCCGUCCAGUAGAUUCCACUGCGGAGACCUCAGAGCUGCUCUGGAUGCUGCCUUCUCUGCCAUUCGCGAGAAGCAGAAGCAGAGAAUUACGGCAGCGCGACGAUGACUUGCUUCUCUAUCUGUUCUCGCCUUCCCUCGUCGCGUCUCUCUCCUUCCAACCCCCCUCCGACCAAAACCUUCCUUGCGUUCCUCGCGUUUCCCCGUGAAGUACCACCCCAACGACUGACUCUACCGAGGAACGCGUCGCCUUUCCGAAUCGCUUGUUCUUCCUCCUCCUCUUCUUCUUCUUCUUCUUCUUCUUCUUCUGGGGAUGCUUCCGGCGAUCAGAGCUCGAGCAAUUUCUGCAUCAUAGAAGGGCCCGAGACUCUGCAGGAUUUCGUGCAGAUGCAAUUGCAGGACAUUCAAGACAGCAUUAGGAGUAGGCGUAAUAAAAUUUUUCUUCUCAUGGAGGAGGUGAGGAGACUGAGAGUUCAACAACGAACAAAGAGUGUGAAAGUCAUUAACGAGAACGGCAAGGAGGAAGCAGAUGAGAUGCCUGAUAUUCCAUCUUCCAUCCCUUUUCUCCCUCACUUGACACAGAAGACACUGAGACAGCUCUACUUGACAAGCUUAUCAUUCAUAGGUGGGAUCAUCCUAUUUGGUGGCCUCAUUGCACCAACUCUGGAGCUGAAACUAGGUUUGGGAGGUACCUCAUAUGAAGAUUUCAUACGUAAUAUGCACUUGCCUUUGCAGUUAAGUCAGGUCGACCCUAUUGUAGCAUCAUUUUCUGGCGGGGCUGUUGGUGUCAUAUCAACCCUGAUGUUGAUGGAAGCUAAUAAUGUUGAACAACAAGAGAAAAAAAGGUGUAAAUAUUGCCAUGGAACAGGAUACUUGGCUUGUGCCAGAUGUUCAGCAAGCGGUGUGUGCUUGAGUGUGAACCCCAUUCUGGUGACUGGUGCUGCAGAUCGCCCUCUUCAGGUUCCCAAAACUGAGAGGUGUCCAAACUGCUCUGGGGCGGGGAAGGUCAUGUGCCCUACCUGCCUGUGCACUGGAAUGCUUAUGGCUAGUGAACAUGACCUGCGGAUCGAUCCAUUUGACUAAACACAGUUUGCUGAUGCGGCAUGAUUUUGUGGGUUGUAGUAUAUCAACAACAAUCGAAUAGUGUUUGUUGUGACUUCAUGUUUGUUUUACGGGAUUAAGGAAUAAAAUGGCGUUCCUUGGGUAGACCUCUGGAAUGCACAUUCCAACUUUUGGAGCCUCACCAAAGGCCGUUAUUGCGAUGGGAGCCAAAAUGCUGAUUUAGUCCGGCCGCAGGGUAUGCUGAACAUAGGCAUUACAUCCUCACAUGAUAGGAAAUGCAAGAACUUCAUGUACUGCACAGAUCACUUGAAACCGGAAAACAGGAACCAUUUUGUGCAUAAUCCAUAAUCAAUGCAAAGCUCCUUCCAUAAUUUGAAUA